rnacentral:miRNA from 1 species
CAAUUGACAGAAUCACCAUAUC